rnacentral:rRNA from 1 species
GAUGAACGCUGGCGGCGUGCCUAAUACAUGCAAGUCGAGCGAACAGACGAGAAGCUUGCUCCUCUGACGUUAGCGACGGACGGGUGAGUAACACGUGGAUAACCUACCUAUAAGACUGGGAUAACUUCGGGAAACCGGAGCUAAUACCGGAUAAUAUAUUGAACCGCAUGGUUCAAUAGUGAAAGACGGUUUUGCUGUCACUUAUAGAUGGAUCCGCGCCGCAUUAGCUAGUUGGUAAGGUAACGGCUUACCAAGGCAACGAUGCCUAUCCGACCUGAGAGGGGGAUCCGCCACAACGGAACUUAGACACCGUCCAGAAUCCGUAGGGAGGGAGGCGGUGGGAAUUUUUCCGAAUUGGGCGAAGCCUGAACGGGGCAAGGCGGCGGGAUGAAGAAGGUCUUCGGGUUCGAAAAACUCUGUAUUUGGGAAGAAAAAAAGGUGAAGUAAACGAUGAAAUUCUGGAGGUAACCAAAUAAGAAAGCCAGGGUAACUUCGGU